rnacentral:rRNA from 1 species
AGAACGAACGCUGGCGGCAUGCCUAACACAUGCAAGUCGAACGAGAUCCUUCGGGGUCUAGUGGCGCACGGGUGCGUAACGCGUGGGAAUCUGCCCUUGGGUUCGGAAUAACAGUUAGAAAUGACUGCUAAUACCGGAUGAUGUCGCCAAAGAGAUUUGGGGACCAAAGAUUAUCGCCCAAGGAUGAGCCCGCGUAGGAUUAGGUAGUUGGUGGGUAAAGCCUAC